UAAGACAGCUCGGGCACAGAGAGAAGUAAGGGGAAAGUCUCUUGCCAAACUUCACUCUCAUACAAUGGGCCCCAGUAAAACAGUGGGCCGGGCCUUAAUAAGCACAUUCAUUUCCCUUCACGUGCAGAUAGGGAAGCUCAAGCAGACUCAGGGGAUAUGCCUGCAGCUGCAGAAAGAUGUAUGGGAACAAACACACAACUCUCUCUCUCAGAUAAGCAUUACAAAGAGACACAGAAGCAGUCUGUAAGAGAGCGUGGCUCUGACCUAACUUUACCAGCAGCCCCUCUCAGGUUUGUUUAAAAUAAACCUGUCCCUGUUGACUGUAAAGCCACCCUUCAUGUUUCACUCCUCUUUUUUUAAUUCUUACAUCAGGCUUGUAGUAUAUUUUAAAGUUGGGUAGCAUGAUGCCUCCAGCUCUGUUUUUUACUGCUUGGGAUUGCCUUGGCUACUCAAGCUUUAUUUUUUUGGUUCCAUGUGAAUUUUAAAAUAUUUUUUGUAGUUCUAUGAUGAACAUCAUUUUUAGUUUCAUAGGAACAGCAUUGAAUCUACAAAUUGCUUUGGACAGUAUGGCCAUUCUAUUUAUAUUGAUUCUUCCUAUACAUGAGCAUGGAAUGUUUUUCCAUUUGUUUGUGUCACCUCUGAUUUCUUUUAGCAUUUUUCUUUUAG
rnacentral:lncRNA from 1 species